ACGAACGCUGGCGGCAUGCCUAACACAUGCAAGUCGAACGGAGAUUAUUUCGGUAAUCUUAGUGGCGAACGGGUGAGUAACGCGUGGGCAACCUGCCCUCUAGAUGGGGACAACAUCCCGAAAGGGGUGCUAAUACCGAAUGUGACAGCAAUCUCGCAUGAGGAUGCUGUGAAAGAUGGCCUCUAUUUAUAAGCUAUCGCUAGAGGAUGGGCCUGCGUCUGAUUAGCUAGUUGGUGGGGUAACGGCCUACCAAGGCGAUGAUCAGUAGCCGGUCUGAGAGGAUGAACGGCCACAUUGGGACUGAGACACGGCCCAGACUCCUACGGGAGGCAGCAGUGGGGAAUCUUCCGCAAUGGGCGAAAGCCUGACGGAGCAAUGCCGCGUGAGUGAUGAAGGAAUUCGUUCCGUAAAGCUCUUUUGUUUAUGACGAAUGUGCAGAUUGUGAACAAUGAUCUGUAAUGACGGUAGUAAACGAAUAAGCCACGGCUAACUACGUG
rnacentral:rRNA from 1 species